ensembl:snoRNA SNORD14 Small nucleolar RNA SNORD14
CCGCUAUGAUGAUAGUUUACCCAAACCAUUCGUAGUUUCCACCAGAAGUCUCAUGACUUAUGUUGGCUAAAAUCCUUCCUUGGAUGUCUGAGCGA